AUUUUUUUAGUAUAUUAGUAUAUUUGGCUUCCAACCAAAAGGAUUAAAAAUUUUUUUUAAAAAAAAUA
rnacentral:tRNA from 1 species